ACUCCUACGGGAGGCAGCAGUGGGGAAUUUUGGACAAUGGGCGCAAGCCUGAUCCAGCCAUGCCGCGUGCAGGAUGAAGGCCUUCGGGUUGUAAACUGCUUUUGUACGGAACGAAAAGACUCCUUUUAAUAAAGGGGGUUCAUGACGGUACCGUAAGAAUAAGCACCGGCUAACUACGUGCCAGCAGCUGCGGUAAUACGUAGGGUGCAAGCGUUAAUCGGAAUUACUGGGCGUAAAGCGUGCGCAGGCGGUUAUAUAAGACAGAUGUGAAAUCCCCGGGCUCAACCUGGGAACUGCAUUUGUGACUGUAUAGCUGGAGUACGGCAGAGGGGGAUGGAAUUCCGCGUGUAGCAGUGAAAUGCGUAGAUAUGCGGAGGAACACCGAUGGCGAAGGCAAUCCCCUGGGCCUGUACUGACGCUCAUGCACGAAAGCGUGGGGAGCAAACAGGAUUAGAUACCCUGGUAGUCCACGCCCUAAACGAUGUCAACUGGUUGUUGGGAAUUCACUUUCUCAGUAACGAAGCUAACGCGUGAAGUUGACCGCCUGGGGAGUACGGCCGCAAGGUUGAAACUCAAAGGAAAUUGACGGGG
rnacentral:rRNA from 1 species